rnacentral:lncRNA from 1 species
AGGCAAGUCACAAUAGGCUCUUCAAACACCUUUCUGACAUAACUAAGGCAAUCAGCCCAUUGCGCCAUAACCAGAAGACAAUAUCUAAUGGCAAUUGCCAUGUAUAGUGUGAAGGCCUUUCCUUGUGGAUUCAGAAUGGAGCAUGGACCACAAUUCUCAGAAGCGACUUCUAGAGAGGGUUUGCGUCUUGCACUUCAUGGCCCAACUCCCAUGCAUACAGCUUUUCAUCUCACUGAGCAUGUCCUGGAGCAGACGAGCAUUCCUCACCUCUUGGUUUCAGAAGAAGGAGCUUCUUGGGGAAUAAUUCCAGGUUCUUUUUUUGCAUCUAUAAUCUAAUCAAGAAUCUGUAGGUCCUACCAUCCUAGGAUAAAUGAGGAGAAGAAAACAAGGAUGCAAGACCCAACAAUAAAAAUAUUAGAAUUUUAAAAAUACUAUACUAGAGUUUGCUUUUAAAUACCUAGUAAAGCUACAAUAAGUCAUGAAAUUGAUGAAUGGAAAGUUAUAUAAUUUCAGCUGUAUAUUAGUUGCUUUUUGCUGCUAUAACAAAUCACCACAAACUUUGUGACUUAAGACAGAUGUAGCCAGGCACGGUGGCUCAUGCCUGUAAUCCCAGCACUUUAGAAGGCUGAGGCAGGCGGAUCACCUGAGGUCAGGCAUUCAAGACCAGCCUGGCCAAGAUGAUGAAACCUCAUCUCUACUAUAAAUACAAAAAUUAGCUGGGCAUGGUGGCACCUAUAAUUCCAGCUACUCGGGCGGCUAAGGCAGGAGAAUCAGUGAGUCGAGAUCACACCACUGCACUCCAGCCUGGGCAACAGAGCAAGACUCCAUCUCAAAAAAGGAAAAAACAAAACAAGACGGAUAUAUUACCUUACAGUUCUUGAAGUUAGAAGUCCAACACAGGUUGCACUGGACUAAAAUCAGGGCAUCAGCUGGGCUGCAUUCCUUUCUGGAGGUUCUAGGGGGAAAUCUAUUUCUUUGUCUUUUAGCUCCUUGCAGCUGCUCCAUUCCUUUGUUUAUGGCCUAUUCUCCAUUUUCAAAGCCAGCAAAGUUGCAUCUUUUUAACUUUUCUUCUGCAGGAAUAUCGCCUUCCAACUAUGGCAAGAAAAGGUUGUCUGAUUUUGAAGAUUUGUGUGAUUCAUUUAGGCCCACUAAAAUAAUCCAAGAUAAUCUUCCCAUCUCAAGAUUCUUAAUUUAAUCACAUCUGCAAAGUUCCUUACAAAAGCAACAUAUUCACAAAUUGCAGGGAUUAGGACGUGGACAUCUUUGGGGGAUCCAUAUUCUGCCUAUCACAAGCUAUUUCCAGACUCCAAGUAGUAAAGAGAGUUGAAAUUCAAAAGCUCAUCAGUCACCUUUUUUCACUGUCAUUCCUUUUAGCAUUGAGUUUUACCUUAGGAAAUAGGACAGAUGUUUUCAAUACCUAAAACCUUAAACAUAGAACAAUUUUACAAAUGUCAUGAAACCAGAAUGAAUCUCUUGGCUGAAAGUUUUUCAAUUUUCAAAGAACUAAUUUUAAUUUUACUAGUAAAUUUGAAAUGGAUCCAGCUUGCCUGCUGUACUUUUAUAUGAGACACUAAAUCACGGUUCUUUGGAAACGGCAACAUUGAAAGCAUAAACUGUCAUUUUCCCAGAAUGUGUGGAAGGGCGGAUGUGGUUGAUAUAAUGUGUUUCUUAACACAUCUUUUCACCCUGAGCUCACUCCCACCAUGUGUUUAUAUGCACUGCAGGGCAUACAGCAGCCUUGGUCGGUGCACGUGUUCGCAAGUAGUUUCGCCUAUUUCUCAAGCAUAUAUUCCUACGGGUGCCUAGCAAAUGCCUUAGCUGAGGACAAGGUGUCCAAGGAAUAAGUACUUGCUGCUGUUUUCCAACACACACCACAAUUUCGGCUGAUUCUCAGCAAAGGGCAUUUCUUCUACUCUGGGAUCUGUGAAUUUGCUCAUGGUUUUUAACAACCUGCAGCCCGGCUCAAGUCAUAGUCUGGAUCCCAAUUUGAAAUUAGCUACAUUUUAUUAGUAAGUGUCCAGAAAUGGCUUGGCGGGUCAUUUUCUGUCUUGUAAAAUGUGGUUCUUAUUGGCAGUAACAUGCUUUUUGGGCACUGACUCAUGUUCUCUCUUCAAGCAAAUGAUUCCUUCAGGAGGCACACGCUAUAUCUAGGUUUGCUGUGUGCAACACAUCAGAUCCUGGCCAUAGGGUGACUUAGCAAAGGUACAGGCAGUUUAUUGCACACCUAUGUACACUUCAGGUCCCGUGCUAAGAGUUUUAAGGGCAUUAUCUCAUUUAACUUUACAAAACCCUGUAAGAUAGAAUCUGUUAAUCAUCCCAUUUUCAGACGAUGAAAGCAAGAUUUAAAAUGACUUGCACAACCUCAUGAAACCGACAUGCUUGGGCUGGACUAUAUUGAGACUAGGUGAGGUGAGUGAGCACUCAGUUUGGUGCAAAAUGUAAAGGAAAGCCAAAAGGCUCAGUAAGCAAGGUAAAGGAUAUUUCAGUGCAAUUUUUUAAAAAUGCAAAAUUAGUGAAAACAUUCCAUAGUAAAAUAUUAAAAUGUGAAAAAAAGACAGACUCUGACCUUAUACUGGGACUCAGCCUUAAUCACCUGACUCUAAUCCUGGCCCUGCUGAAUCCUGUCCCUUCCCUGGCUGGAAUUUGAACCCAAGGCUGGCUGAGGCUGAAGCCCAUGUUUGUACCCACUACUCUAUAGGAUGCAUCUGCCUCCUCUGCCAGCAGGGCAGCUGGGAGGUACUUAAAAUGCUUUUCAACAAUGAUGACAG